rnacentral:rRNA from 1 species
GACGAACGCUGGCGGCGUGCUUAACACACGCAAGUCGAACGGAAAGGCCCUGCUUUUGUGGGGUGCUCGAGUGGCGAACGGGUGAGUAACACGUGAGUAACCUGCCCUUUACUUUGGGAUAACUUCAGGAAACUGGGGCUAAUACCUGAUAGGAGCUCCUGCUGCAUGGUGGGGUUUGGAAAGUUUCGGCGGUUGGGGAUGGACUCGCGGCUUAUCAGCUUGUUGGUGGGGUAGUGGCUUACCAAGGCUUUGACGGGUAGCCGGCCUGAGAGGGUGACCGGCCACAUUGGGACUGAGAUACGGACCAGACUCCUACGGGAGGCAGCAGUGGGGAAUAUUGCACAAUGGGCGGAAGCCUGAUGCAGCAACGCCGCGUGCGGGAUGACGGCCUUCGGGUUGUAAACCGCUUUCGCCUGUGACGAAGCGUGAGUGACGGUAAUGGGUAAAGAAGCACCGGCUAACUACGUG